CCCUUAGAUGUCCGGGGCCGUACGCGCGCUACACUGAAGGAAUCAGCGUGGCUUUCUCCCUGACCCGAAAGGGUUGGGAAACCCGUUGAAUCUCCUUCGUGAUAGGGAUUGGGGCUUGAAAUUGUUCCCCAUGAACGAGGAAUUCCCAGUAAGCGCGAGUCAUAAGCUCGCGUUGAUUACGUCCCUGCCCUUUGUACACACCGCCCGUCGCUCCUACCGAUUGAAUGCUCAGGUGAGCCAUUCGGACUUUCAUCAUGCUGGUUUCCAGUUUUGAUGAAGGAAAGUCUUGCGAACCUUAUCAUUUAGAGGAAGGAGAAGUCGUAACA
rnacentral:rRNA from 1 species